rnacentral:tRNA from 1 species
AAUUACUUUGGCAGAAUAGUGCAUUAAAUUUAGAAUUUAAGAUUAAAUAUAUAGUGUAAGAUAGAUAUAUAAGUAAUA